AGAGUUUGAUCAUGGCUCAGGAUGAACGCUAGCGGCAGGCCUAAUACAUGCAAGUCGAACGGUAAAUAUUCAGCAAUGGAUAUGAGAGUGACGUACGGGUGCGUAACACGUAUGCAACCUACCCUUUACAGGAGGAUAGCUCGGGGAAACUCGGAUUAACCCUUCAUAAUAUAAUUGGAUGGCAUCAUUUGAUUAUUAAAUCUACGGAGGUAAAGGAUGGGCAUGCGUCUGAUUAGUUAGUUGGCGGUGUAACGGACCACCAAGACGAUGAUCAGUAGGGGAACUGAGAGGUUGAUCCCCCACACUGGCACUGAGAUACGGGCCAGACUCCUACGGGAGGCAGCAGUAGGGAAUAUUGGUCAAUGGAUGGAAGUCUGAACCAGCCAUGCCGCGUGCAGGAAGAAGGCCUUCUGGGUUGUAAACUGCUUUUGCCAGGGGCUAAAACGCCCAUGCGUGGGAAAUUGAAAGUACCUGGUGAAUAAGCCACGGCUAACUACGUGCCAGCAGCCGCGGUAAUACGUAGGUGGCAAGCGUUGUCCGGAUUUAUUGGGUUUAAAGGGUGCGUAGGCGGCUUUGUAAGUCAGUGGUGAAAUAUGGCAGCUCAACUGUCAAGGUGCCAUUGAUACUGCAGAGCUUGAGUACAGAUGAGGUAGGCGGAAUUGACGGUGUAGCGGUGAAAUGCUUAGAUAUCGUCAAGAACACCUAUAGCGAAGGCAGCUUACUAGGCUGUAACUGACGCUGAGGCACGAAAGUGUGGGGAUCAAACAGGAUUAGAUACCCUGGUAGUCCACACUGUAAACGUUGAUUACUCGCUGUGUGCGAUAUACAGUACGCGGCCAAGCGAAAGCGCUAAGUAAUCCACCUGGGGAGUACGCCGGCAACGGUGAAACUCAAAGGAAUUGACGG
rnacentral:rRNA from 1 species